rnacentral:rRNA from 1 species
CCGGGGCGUUACCCCCCGGAGGUGGCUUUCAAAUAUUACUGAUCUUGAGUGAUGGAGGAGGCAGGCGGAAUUCUGUCUUUAGCGGUGAAAUGAGUAGAAUAUACGGAGGGAACACCAGUGGCGAAGGGGGGCGUGCUUGUACAAUAAACUGACGCUGAGGAGCGAAAGCGUGGGGAGCAAACAGGAUUAGAUACCUCUGGUAGUCCACGCCGUAAACGAUGGAUACUAGGUGUGGGAGGUAUUGACCCCCUCCGUGCCGGAGUUAACACAAUAAGUAUCCCACCUGGGGAGUACGGCCGCAAGGUUGAAACUCAUAGAUAUUGACGGGGGCCCGCACAAGCAGCGGAGUAUGUGGUUUAAUUUGAAGCAACGCGAAGAACCUUACCAGGUCUUGACAUCCUUUUGACCGCCCUAGAAAUAGGGUUUCCCUUCGGGGCAGAGGUGACAGGUGGUGCAUGGUUGUUGUCAGCUCGUGUCGUGAGAUGUUGGGUUAAGUCCCGCAACGAGCGCAACCCUUACGGUUAGUUGAUACGCAAGAUCACUCUAGCCGGACUGCCGUUGACAAAACGGAGGAAGGGGGGGGGGAGGUCAAAUCAUCAUGCCCCCUAUGACCUGGGGUACACACGUACUACAAUGGCAGUCAUAUAGAGGGAAGCAAAGCAGUGAUGUGGAGCAAAUCCCUAAAAGCUGUCCCAGUUCAGAUUGCAGGCUGCAACCCGCCCGCAUGAAGUCGGAAUUGCUAGUAAUCGCGGAUCAGCAUGCCGCGGUGAAUACGUUCCCGGGCCUUGUACUCACCGCCCGUCA